rnacentral:rRNA from 1 species
AGUGAACGCUGGCGGUAGGCCUAGCACAUGCAAGUCGAACGGCAGCACAGUAAGAGCUUGCUCUUACGGGUGGCGAGUGGCGGACGGGUGAGGAAUACAUCGGAAUCUACUUUUUCGUGGGGGAUAACGUAGGGAAACUUACGCUAAUACCGCAUACGACCUACGGGUGAAAGCAGGGGAUCUUCGGACCUUGCGCGAUUGAAUGAGCCGAUGUCGGAUUAGCUAGUUGGCGGGGUAAAGGCCCACCAAGGCGACGAUCCGUAGCUGGUCUGAGAGGAUGAUCAGCCACACUGGAACUGAGACACGGUCCAGACUCCUACGGGAGGCAGCAGUGGGGAAUAUUGGACAAUGGGCGCAAGCCUGAUCCAGCCAUACCGCGUGGGUGAAGAAGGCCUUCGGGUUGUAAAACCCUUUUGUUGGGAAAGAAAAGCAGCAGGUUAAUACCCCGCUGUUCUGACGGUACCCAAAGAAUAAGCACCGGCUAACUUCGUG